UACAUGUGGGGCAAGCGUUGUUCGGAAUUACUGGGCGUAAAGGGUGCGUAGGUGGCUUGUUAAGUCAGGGGUGAAAGUUUUCGGCCCAACCGGAAAAUGGCCUUUGAUACUGGCGAGCUCGAGUGCGUGAGGGGUAACCGGAACGAGCAGUGUAGCGGUGAAAUGCGUAGAUAUUGCUCGGAAGGCCAACGGCGAAGGCAGGUUACUGGUGCGCAACUGACACUGAGGCACGAAAGCGUGGGGAGCGAACAGG
rnacentral:rRNA from 1 species